AACGAACGCUGGCGGCAUGCCUAACACAUGCAAGUCGAACGGGAUCCUAGCUUGCUAGGUGAGAGUGGCGGACGGGUGAGUAACAACGUGGGAAUCUGCCUUUUGGUUCGGGAUAACCGCGGGAAACUGCGGCUAAUACCGAAUGCCCUCGAGAGAGGAAAGAUUUAUCGCCAGAAGAGGAGCCCGCGUCCGAUUAGGUAGUUGGUGGGGUAAAGGCCUACCAAGCCGACGAUCGGUAGCUGGUCUGAGAGGAUGAUCAGCCACACUGGGACUGAGAUACGGCCCAGACUCCUACGGGAGGCAGCACGUGGGGAAUAUUGGACAAUGGAGGCAACCCUGAUCCAGCAAUGCCGCGUGAGUGAUGAAGGCCUUAGGGUUGUAAAGCUCUUUUGCCAGGGAAGAUGAUGACUGUACCUGGAGAAUAAGACCCCGG
rnacentral:rRNA from 1 species